rnacentral:rRNA from 1 species
UACGUAGGUGGCGAGCGUUGUCCGGAUUCACUGGGCGUAAAGAGCGCGCAGGCGGCUGGUCAAGUCCGAUGUGAAAGCUCCCGGCUUAACUGGGAAAUUGCAUCGGAAACUGAUCGGCUGGAAGGUGGGAGAGGGUAGCGGAAUUCCCGGUGUAGUGGUGAAAUGCGUAGAUAUCGGGAGGAACACCAGUGGCGAAGGCGGCUACCUGGACCAGCAUUGACACUCAAGCACGAAAGCGUGGGGAGCAAACAGG